GAUGAACGCUAGCGGGAGGCCUAACACAUGCAAGCCGAGCGGUAGAGAUCUUUCGGGAUCUUGAGAGCGGCGUACGGGUGCGGAACACGUGUGCAACCUGCCUUUAUCAGGGGGAUAGCCUUUCGAAAGGAAGAUUAAUACCCCAUAAUAUAUUGAAUGGCAUCCUUUGAUAUUGAAAACUCCGGUGGAUAGAGAUGGGCACGCGCAAGAUUAGAUAGUUGGUAGGGUAACGGCCUACCAAGUCAGUGAUCUUUAGGGGGCCUGAGAGGGUGAUCCCCCACACUGGUACUGAGACACGGACCAGACUCCUACGGGAGGCAGCAGUGAGGAAUAUUGGACAAUGGGUGAGAGCCUGAUCCAGCCAUCCCGCGUGAAGGACGACGGCCCUAUGGGUUGUAAACUUCUUGUGUAUAGGGAUAAACCUUUCCACGUGUGGAAAGCUGAAGGUACUAGACGAAUAAGCACCGGCUAACUCCGUG
rnacentral:rRNA from 1 species